UAUCACGGUUAGUAGUUGUAAUCCAUUAUGAGACUAUAUCAAUGUGUUAUCUUGGCACAAUCUAGUUUUAACAUGUGAGAUCCAUUAUUGGUACUGUUCGAUAAUGGUGACACGAUUAAGGACUCAUGGUGCCGCAGCGAAAUUGAGAGCCUCCUAUGAAUGCGCACAUAGGAUUGUGCUACUCGUCGGAUGCUGGUAUCAAGGUCUCUGGUCAUGAUCCAUUGUGGAACUACACUGAUGUGUGAUCUUCCGUGGACUCCUCCCUUGAAACAAUUUCUAUGUUGUUUGUCAAAUGAUCAAGCAACAUCUAUCAUCUCUGUUGGAUAAAAAGAGCAUACCAACUUUCAUGUGUGGUCUCUUUCCUUUUGAUCUUGGUAGUGACUACUCAUACAAGUUCCCUUUACGUCCUUUGUGUAAAGGUGAAGCCUUGGAGCUUUUUAGUGUUGGAAAACAACUGAUUAGCUCUCAAAAUGGAGAUCUGCUUCCCCUGCCACUGAAAUGCAGGAGUUUGUUCAUUCGCUCUUUUAUUCAAUCCUUGUAUUCCCUAACCAAGUCGGUUCAUCUUGUAUAGAAGAAACGGAUAAACAACCGACCAAAUGGAUUCCUGUCCAAAUGCAUGAUCAACUGUUAAUAAGAGUGAACUCUCAACCCUUGGCUUACCGGUGGUACUGAGAGGACCUGCUCAAUAUCAAAAGUAGUUCAACAAGUUGGUUUUACUAACUUGUAACUGCCCUAUGAACAAAGGUUGAGUUUAGAGAUCGUUUUGUCGAGUUGGCUAAACUCACUUUGGUUCAACCCAUCCUAAGAAAGUUCUUACAAAGAUCAAGUUAAAAUCGACUGAUAGUCACCUAAUUAUCGCUCUAGUCGUGCCUUGAUCGACUCACGUGUGCUUUUCCAGCAUAUGUGAUCAGGUCGAGUCAUGCUUAGUGCUCAAAAAAGUGGAUUGAUUGUGAAGCCAACAAUUGUUGAUAAUCUUCACUGAUGUUUCCUUGAGUCUCCAUUAGCAUCAUUGGACUUGGAUUUUCUGGCUAACACGAGUUAACUGUGAUGUUAUUCGACAUUCACACCCGUCUCGUGUGCUAUGAACUUACCGUGACCACUUGUUGGUAAACCUCUUUCUGUGUGAUUUACCCAAGAGGUUUCAUCUGGUUCUGUUUGGGUAAAGUCGUAUAUCUACCGCUCGCCCACCAAACUCAGAUAGUACAGUGUUAUCAGGAAAAACAAACUGCACACAUGGAACCUUAGGUGUUCUUCUGUCAAUCAUCGUCUCUAUUGUUGGCAUCUCUAAUUAGCAUAAAGAUGAUACAUGCUACACUCACUUGAGAUCUUGAGAUAAUCGUCUUUGCUUGGAAUUAGCUUAUGCUAUCACUAUUAUGGAUAGGGUUAUACGCCUCUCUACUCUUAGAAGUCUUUCGUUCUGAAUCUCGGGACGAGAUUCUUUUAAGGGGGGAAGGCUGUAACACCCCAGGUGUUUGUCGUCUUCUCGACCACGAGUGCGGACGUUAACACGUGAUAGCGGUGAAUGUAAAUGUCACUAAAUUUUUAAUCAUCUUUGUCUAUCACGAUUUUGAUAUCGUGUUUGUCUCCAUAUGUUUAAAUUGUCCUAAUUUAGUUUGCAAAAAUUCAGACUUAAGUAAUCUUCCGAAACAUCAGAUCCAAUAUCGUUUGGGUUGAGCCAUCGACGUCUUGCCCAAACUCUAACCUUUGAAAUCAGAUCUGGUUCUGUAGAAUCCAUUUUUUUUAAUUCCCUCGCGCCUGUGUCGUGCGCGUCCCUCUGCGGCCUGGCAUUGUGACGUGUGGCGAGCGUUAACCGGUGUCUGGACAGCGCACAGCCUCUCGCCCACGUAAACGAUGCGUGUCGUCGCUUUUGAAAGGAUCACAAGUUCGAUGUCAUAUCGAUCUCGCGUAUUUAUUUUGCGAAAUGUCGAGUGUUGUGUCUGUUUAAAAAUUUAUGGAUAAGGGGAACAUUAAUUUGGAAUCUCGACCCACUCUUGUGAAUUUUGACCCGAGUAAAUUUUAUUAGAAGCUCGGCGACAAGGGCGUUGAUGCGAGAUUUAAUUGGACCACGAUAAUUAAAACCGAACUGAGUAUUCGUAAUUAAUCGGUUCCACUGUCUACAACUGUGGAAAUUUGUCUGAUCCUAAAAAUACCUACCAGUGUUAGCGUAGUCUAAAAACAUUAAAAUUGAUAUUGUUUUGAUGGGUCUGUUUGCAUCUCGCUCGGAUUCAAAUCCCAGAUUUUUACUUAUUUGGGGUAUUCUAUUGGUUAAAGAUUGGAGAAGGAAAAUCUGAAUUUUCUUACCUCUAAGUGUCCAUCUCCAACUAAUCCUCAUCCUACGUAAAAAAAUGGCUCCCAGAAAGUGUCUCUCGUAUGUUCCUUGAUUUCCUUGGAAAUUUCAUCCACCGCCAGCAUUACUAUUACGUGGCCAAAAUCCCUGAAGCGGCAUGUCUUACUCCCACACGUCCUUAUCUUCCUCUAGACUUAUCCCCAUCGUUUCUAGCUUCUAGUUUAUCCGUUGUCGGCAUUAUCUUUUCAAGAGCUGGACGCACGUCUCCAUGUUGCCUGUCGGCCUUAUCUCCAUCCCUCAUCACCUCUGCGAGCACAAGUUUUAGCGCCUGCCCUCAGUCCAGCUCGCCAGCAGCUCUCUGCCCUCCUCCCUCAAGCCCUAGCCGAGUUUUUCCAUGGUGCCCUGGAUGCCAGCCCCUUUACUCGCUGCCCCUGCAUUCCUGCUCGCCCUGCCCCCAGCCAUGGACGCCGUCGGGCCACCCGUUCCUAUCUCCCCUCACCCUCAUCCUCUGGCUGCUGCCCCUUCCUAUUCCUGGUGGUUGAGUCUUCUUCCAUGGACGCCAAUAGCAGCAGCCCACUCCUUCUUUUGUUCUCCAUGGAUGAAAGCCCAAGCAUCUGCCCCUCCCCUAGGUUUUUUACAAUCGCAGCAGCACGUCGAACCUUUGCAACCCCGGUGAGACCAGCUGCUUGCGCUAUGUUUAUUCCCCACCAAUUCCUAUAUUUGAUUAUUUACUGUAUAUGUUUGUGUGUUUGUGGUGGAGGUAAAUCCUAGGAAAUUUAGAUGAGAAGAAAGCUAUAGCGAGGCGCUUGCCAAGUGCUUGGUGAAUCGCCUCAACCGGAUGUGGUUGUCGAUCUCGCGGAGUCGAGUCGAGUUUAGUCAUGGUACGUUCAUUGAUCACGUAAUGUGGAGGACAACAACUGGAAUAAUCUCAAGAUGGGACUGAUGAAUGAACCCAAAGCUAAAUGAUCUGAUCGUGCUGGAAUGGGAGGUGCUCGCCAAGCGAG